rnacentral:rRNA from 1 species
AGUGAGCGCUGGCGGUAGGCCUAACACAUGCAAGUCGAACGGCAGCACAGUAAGAGCUUGCUCUUACGGGUGGCGAGUGGCGGACGGGUGAGGAAUACAUCGGAAUCUACUUUUUCGUGGGGGAUAACGUAGGGAAACUUACGCUAAUACCGCAUACGACCUACGGGUGAAAGCAGGGGAUCUUCGGACCUUGCGCGAUUGAAUGAGCCGAUGUCGGAUUAGCUAGUUGGCGGGGUAAAGGCCCACCAAGGCGACGAUCCGUAGCUGGUCUGAGAGGGUGAUCAGCCACACUGGAACUGAGACACGGUCCAGACUCCUACGGGAGGCAGCAGUGGGGAAUAUUGGACAAUGGGCGCAAGCCUGAUCCAGCCAUACCGCGUGGGUGAAGAAGGCCUUCGGGUUGUAAAGCCCUUUUGUUGGGAAAGAAAAGCAGCAGGUUAAUACCCCGCUGUUCUGACGGUACCCAAAGAAUAAGCACCGGCUAACUUCGUG